AUGCAGCUGCCACCGGGUAGCAGAUCGUGAAAGCGUUCGCCGGCGUAUCGUUAGGUCUUAGAAGAUACGUCAUGCGGGCGCUGUUUUUUC
rnacentral:ncRNA from 1 species